rnacentral:rRNA from 1 species
GAUGAACGCUGGCGGCGUGCCUAACACAUGCAAGUCGAACGGAGUCCAGCCUUUAAGACCUUCGGGUCAAAGAGGGGAAGACUGAGUGGCGGACGGGUGAGUAACACGUGGGCAACCUGGCUCAUAGAGGGGGAUAACAGAGAGAAAUUUCUGCUAAUACCGCAUAAGCACACACUGCCGCAUGGCAGAGGGUGAAAAGAGAAUCGCUAUGAGAUGGACCCGCGUCUGAUUAGCCAGUUGGCAGGGUAAGAGCCUACCAAAGCGACGAUCAGUAGCCGAUCUGAGAGGAUGGACGGCCACAUUGAGACUGAGACACGGCCCAGACUCCUACGGGAAGCAGCAGUGGGGGAUAUUGCACAAUGGGGGGAGUCCUGAUGCAGCGACGCCGCGUGAGUGAAGAAGUAUUUCAGUAUGUAAAGCUCUAUCAGCAGGGAAGAUAAUGACAGUACCUGAAUAAGAAGCCCCGGCUAACUACGUG